CGGGGGCUAACUUUAACACCGGUGACUACAUGCACCGACUUCCUAGGGCCUGUUUAGAAAGAAGAUUCAAGAGGCUAAAAUCUCGUUGUCAUUGAAAUUUAAAUAGCAAAGGAAUUAUAUCCCCUCCAAUCCUAUGUAUAGCACUCCCAUUUCCACAUGGAAGAAACAAACAACGUUUGUAGUUUCCAUGUAGCUGACAACGCCGGCGGCUAACUUUGACAUCGCUGACUGCAUGUGCCGACUUUCUAGAGCCUGUUUUAAAUAAGAUGAUUGAAGAGGCUAAAAUCUCGUUGUCAUUCAAAUUUAAAUAGCAAAGUAAUUAUAUCCCCUCCAAUCCUCUAUAUGUACCCUUUGCUUCCAAACAACCGAGGGACAUCAGACUAGCGACCAUACGGGUGGGUAUCUGAUCCGAGAAACAUCAGCUCAGAGACCUUCUUCUACUAUGCUAGAUUUUAACUGUAACACCCGGUUUUAGCGGACAAAGUCGGGUGCAUCUCAUACAUGCGCCAAAGAAGACAACAUAUAUAAUCACAGAGUGUAUAGAGAUAAAUGUCACAAUAAUCAGAGCACUUAUUACAUAGCGGAAGUCUUACAAAAUAAAUGAUAAAUAUAGCAGGAUCUAAAAUCCAUCCUUGGCGCCAGAAAGUCAACUGGGAGACGCCACCUAGAUCGAAUCGAACUCCUCGUUAUGGCUCCUCUUGAACCACCUGUUCUUCUCUUGUGGGGGGUGUGAGACAGCAAGAGUGAGCUCACAUACGUUCAUCGCUCAACAAGUUGUGGGGAAUAAUGUGCAUGAACUCGCCAAAGGUGAGAGCUCAUGAAGUGUAAGGCUUAUCAAAGAAAAUGGUUAAAGCUGAGCAUUGCUUUUAAUGUUGGUCAAACUUUUAUUAGCAAUUACUAGGUGUAAGUAAAUACCAAACCUUAAUAAAAGUAAUAGAACAAAAUUAAUAAAUAAUCCCAUGCAAAUGCAAAUGACAAAUUGAAUUUAGGUUCCAUAAAUUAAUUAUGUGAGGGUCCGAGCCGCUCAUGACCAUGAGCACGGCUAGUAUACUAGUUUUACACUCUGCAGAGGUUGCGCAUCUUUACCCACAAGUCGUGUUACCCACCUGCCAAGGGGUCAUGAGUCUCAUACACCUCUACCGAGGAGGCGAGGCAGGGUAACACUACGAGGCCUUUACAAAGUUCCACUAGCUUCAGAAAUCCCGCUACAGUUUAUAGGAAGCUCCAAUGCAGGAAUCCCUUGCAGGACCGCCAUCGCAGCAAAAUCCUCCCGAGGGCCUCCCUACACUGACCACUCCCCUACUGCCCUUGCCCCUUUCGGGUAAGGAAGACCUCCACUAGCUUUCCUAGUUAAUCAGCCAAGGGCGUCCCAUUAAACCCUUGUGGUAGCACUGUUUUCCCGGGUGGUCGCUCCAUGUUCCAAUUAACAUAAUGAUCUUAUCAUGAACAUAAAUAACAUAACAGAAUAAUUGGAACAUGGAUGUAAUGAAAUAUUAACCCAAAAACCAUAUAAAGCAAUAGCAUAACUACCCAAUUGAUUCAGGGGUAAACAAGGUAAACAGGAUAAACAAACUAGGGUAACCUAUUGGGUCCCAUCAAAAUUAACCUAUGCAGAUCAUUAUGAUUAAUUAAAACAUGAGUGGGUAAAAAGAAGUGAUCAAGGGCACAACUUGCCUGGGACUUGAGAUUCCAGGUACCAGGAUGAUCCUUCGGAUCCUCGUGACCUCACGCUAGUCGUAGCAAUACAAACAAAUAUGGUAUAGACAAAAUUAACAUCACACCAAGCAUAAUAACAUACAACAUAUAAUAAUCUACGCGUUGCUACGAGAUCGUGGGUUCUAGAACUACUAAGAUCGGAGUUAUGAUUAAGGAGUUAUGAUCUAUAGAAGCUCUACGUAAUUUUAAAUAUUAAACUUUUAUUAUAAAUUGGUUAGUAUAGAUCAUACGAGAAAUUAUUCUAUAAAUAAUUAUCUCAACUUUAAUCUAAGUCAUUAUUUUAUUAAAGAUUAUCUAGUUAAAUUAUAUCCAUAAAAUUAAAAUACUAUAUUAAUAUUGAAUAAGUUAAUGUAAUAGGCUUAGAUUAACCCAAUUAUAAAAGUAUCAGAUAUCAUAUAAUAAAUGUUGCUAUUGUGUAGUAGAUACUUAUACAAAGCUAACGCAACUGGAACGAGUCAAAUCGGAUUUAAAACGGAGGAGAUACGAAUUUCCUAAGGUUUCAUGUGCUUGGCAUCCGAUUAAUUAAGAAAUAAAUUUUAAUGUGACUUUCAUGUCAAAACAGAGACACUAUAUGAUAAACAACAUUAUUACAAAAUUAUAGGAAUUGGAAUGAAUAAAUUUGGACCUCAUAUGAAUUUUCUAUGGAUUAAACAAAUUCUAGUAUUUAUUUUCACAUUAAAAAUCAUUUUCUAUUCACUUUUACUGAAUUUCUAAUUCUUCGGACUGGGCGCCAAAAUCUGGAAAAGCCAGGGGCCCCAGCGCAAUGCUUACUAGACUCAGUGCACAGUAUUUAUGGACUGCGGGUUAAUUCCUGAUAAGCGCAAGGUCUCUUUUGAAAGACGUACUGACCGAAGGGGUACGGGCGAGUAUUGGCCAUCCGAUCAGGAAACAAGGGCAUAGAUUAAAUCCGCCCCACUUGAACCGAUAAGCAAUACGAGCCCUCGGAUCAAAUUUCUGCGCCUAGGAUUUAAUGUGACUACGAUCUAAUCCGCUCCGUUCAUUACGAUCUACGGAUAACAACUCUCUCUCCCCCCGCAUCCUUAGAUCUCCAUCCGAUGGCUACACCCCGAUCACGCGAACCAUUAUGCCUAUCUCUAAUCUCAUCCGUCGAUUGCGUAUCCAAUGAACAUGUUCGGCCCACGCUCCUACCGCCCCCAGCAACGGCAGCACAUCCCCGAUUUGCAGCGGCGGCAUGCCCCGACCACGGUGGCACCAUAAUCGACGAUUCUAGUUCGACGAAAUUGCACAUCAAUCCGUAUUACAUGGAGCAGGAGACUUGGAGCAUGUCGACCAGGUAACGUACCGAAGGUUUAGGCGGCCACAAAGUUGUUCCACGGCGGACAGCGGGUUUGCGGCGGAGUAGGAGCACCGGCGAGAAAUCGCGUGCACCCUAGCUCCCAAUCGCGCCAGCCGAGGGAGCCGUGCGCACCAACGUCGAUUGCACCAGCGGCGAACCCGAAGGUCACCGGCGAGCUUGGUCCUUUCUCUCUCUUUGAUGGAGUUCGGUGUGACUACCCCAAUGGUGGCGGUGACGCCCAGCGCCCAAGAGACGGUCGAGGCAAAGCGAGAGGUCCGAUCCCAGCUAUUUAAAGGGGAAGAAUCUGUUGCGGCUAGCAGAGGCGAGAGGAAAACACGGUGGAAGGUGUAGCCACCAUGGAUUUGGUUGAACGGACUAGUACGGAGGAAUCGACCGGAAUCACGCGCGAGCUGUUAGGAUGCAGUUGGGUUCUUCGGAUGGUGGAAGAAGGCGCGCGCGCGAAGAUAGGGG
rnacentral:lncRNA from 1 species